UCCGCUUUGGCGCAGUGGUGCGCGUACUGCGUUGCUACCCAUCCAGGGACCCCUUCGGGAGUCACCUCUCUACAGUAGUAAGGUCCAGGUUCGACUCCUGGGAGCGGAA
rnacentral:tRNA from 2 species